rnacentral:rRNA from 1 species
UACGUAGGCAGCAAGCGUUGUUCGGAAUUACUGGGCGUAAAGAGUGUGUAGGCGGUGCUCUAAGUUCGGUGUGAAAUCUCCCGGCUCAACUGGGAGGGUGCGCCGGAAACUGGGGGUGCUGGAGCGCGGGAGAGGAAAGCGGAAUUCCUGGUGUAAGCGGUGAAAUGCGUAGAUAUCAGGAGGAACACCGGUGGUGUAAACGGCUUUCUGGACCAUAACUGACGCUGAGACACGAAAGCGUGGGUAGCAAACAGG